rnacentral:rRNA from 1 species
ACUCCUACGGGAGGCAGCAGUGGGGAAUAUUGCACAAUGGGCGCAAGCCUGAUGCAGCCAUGCCGCGUGUGUGAAGAAGGCCUUCGGUUGUAAAGCACUUUCAGUCGUGAGGAAGGUAGUGUAGUUAAUAGCUGCAUUAUUUGACGUUAGCGACAGAAGAAGCACCGGCUAACUCCGUGCCAGCAGCCGCGGUAAUACGGAGGGGUGCGAGCGUUAAUCGGAAUUACUGGGCGUAAAGCGCAUGCAGGUGGUUUGUUAAGUCAGAUGUGAAAGCCCGGGGCUCAACCUCGGAAUUGCAUUUGAAACUGGCAGACUAGAGUACUGUAGAGGGGGUAGAAUUUCAGGUGUAGCGGUGAAAUGCGUAGAGAUCUGAAGGAAUACCGGUGGCGAAGGCGGCCCCCUGGACAGAUACUGACACUCAGAUGCGAAAGCGUGGGGAGCAAACAGGAUUAGAUACCCUGGUAGGAUAGCC